rnacentral:rRNA from 1 species
UUCAGUUUUCGGGCURGGCAAUUUGGGUUGUAAAGUUCUGCAAAGUCUUUUAUUCUCAUUGUUGUUUAGUUUGUAAAUGCAUUUGCAUACCGAGUGCGCCGAAUCGGUUGAAUUUGCCGUUUGAUAAUUUUAUAGAGGACUAACUUGUUGGAAACCUGUAAAACUUUAUGACGGAUGAAUUUGGCUGUCAAAUUGAGUUGGUUUUUCGYGAUAAUAGUUGUGAAUUGGAGUUGUUUUUGUACGAUGCAUGCGUUUUGCAGUUAUGGCUUUARUUCRCAWCCCUUAUUGCUCUGCUCUUUAUUCGGUGUUUAGUCAAUCACCUACCUGACCCGUCUUGAAACACGGACCAAGGAGUUUAAGGUGUACGCAAGUCAUUGAUUGUUUAAAGUCAUAGGCGUAAUGAAAGUGGGACACUUGGUGUCUGUGAUGUGAGCUUUUUUUGUUUCGACGAACUAAGCGCAACAUCGACCCAUGACUAGGGCUUGCUCUGUUGUGGAGUCUGAGCGUACGCUUUGAGACCC